GCGCCUGUAGCUCAGCUGGAUAGAGUGUCGCCCUCCGAAGGCGAAGGUCACAGGUUCGACUCCUGUAAGGCGCGCCA
rnacentral:tRNA from 1 species